rnacentral:rRNA from 1 species
AUUGAACGCUGGCGGCAGGCCUAACACAUGCAAGUCGAACGGUAACAGGAAGAAGCUUGCUUCUUUGCUGACGAGUGGCGGACGGGUGAGUAAUGUCUGGGAAACUGCCUGAUGGAGGGGGAUAACUACUGGAAACGGUAGCUAAUACCGCAUAACGUCGCAAGACCAAAGAGGGGGACCUUCGGGCCUCUUGCCAUCGGAUGUGCCCAGAUGGGAUUAGCUAGUAGGUGGGGUAACGGCUCACCUAGGCGACGAUCCCUAGCUGGUCUGAGAGGAUGACCAGCCACACUGGAACUGAGACACGGUCCAGACUCCUACGGGAGGCAGCAGUGGGGAAUAUUGCACAAUGGGCGCAAGCCUGAUGCAGCCAUGCCGCGUGUAUGAAGAAGGCCUUCGGGUUGUAAAGUACUGUCAGCGGGGAGGAAGGGAGUAAAGUUAAUACCUUUGCUCAUUGACGUUACCCGCAGAAGAAGCACCGGCUAACUCCGUG